CAUUAAUUCUCUGUGGAACAUAGUUUAAGAAAUGCUGCUUAAAAACGUAGGAAAACCUUACCAAUCAACAAGAGAAUGAUGGAUACUUUCAAUAGAAAAAUAGUCAAAGGACACUUAGAGGCACUGAGGAAAGGCCUUGUGAACACGUAACAAGAAGGUGGCCGUCUGCAAACCAGGAAGAGAGGCCUCACCUGAAACCAAAUCAACCAGAAUCUUCAUGUUAGACUUCUAGCCUCCAGAUCCGUGAGAAGUAAAUGUCUGUUGUCUAAGCCUCACAGUUGAUGAUAUUUUGCUAUGGCAGUCCAAACAGACUAAUGGAAGCAGAUUAAAA
rnacentral:lncRNA from 1 species